UACGUAGGGUGCGAGCGUUAAUCGGAAUUACUGGGCGUAAAGCGUGCGCAGGCGGUCUGUUAAGACAGAUGUGAAAUCCCCGGGCUUAACCUGGGAACUGCAUUUGUGACUGGCAGGCUAGAGUAUGGCAGAGGGGGGUAGAAUUCCACGUGUAGCAGUGAAAUGCGUAGAGAUGUGGAGGAAUACCGAUGGCGAAGGCAGCCCCCUGGGUCAAGAUUGACGCUCAUGCACGAAAGCGUGGGGAGCAAACAGG
rnacentral:rRNA from 1 species